AGCUUUGCGCAGUGGCAGUAUCGUAGCCAAUGAGGUUUAUCCGAGGCGCGAUUAUUGCUAAUUGAAAACUUUUCCUAAAACAGUGUCUUAUCCUUUUUGGUGAACUUUUUUUCAUAACCCCUUAUUUCCUAUUAGGA